rnacentral:tRNA from 1 species
ACCUGGCUGGCUCAGUCGGUAGAGCAUGUGACGCUUGCUCUCAGGGUUGUGAGUUCAAGCCCCACGUUGGGUG